UGAUAAGGUGUAGCGACCUUGUGC
rnacentral:siRNA from 1 species